rnacentral:rRNA from 1 species
UACGUAGGGUGCAAGCGUUUGUCCGGAAUUUAUUGGGGCGUAAAAGAGCUUGUAGGCGGUUUUGUCGCGUCUGCUGUGAAAAUUUCGGGGCUCAACCCCGAACUUGCAGUGGGUACGGGCAGACUAGAGUGUGGUAGGGGAGACUGGAAUUCCUGGUGUAGCGGUGAAAUGCGCAGAUAUCAGGAGGAACACCAUGGCGAAG